AUAUUUAUAUGUUGUGUUGUUGCUUUUAAUGUGCCUGUAAGGCUGCAGAAGGAAAGAAUGAAAUUGUUCC